UAGUAGAUGACGUGCAAAUUC
rnacentral:siRNA from 1 species